rnacentral:rRNA from 2 species
GAGGGGCAGCAUGGUCUUAGCUUGCUAAGGCCGAUGGCGACCGGCGCACGGGUGAGUAACACGUAUCCAACCUGCCGUCUACUCUUGGACAGCCUUCUGAAAGGAAGAUUAAUACAAGAUGGCAUCAUGAGUCCACAUGUUCACAUGAUUAAAGGUAUUCCGGUAGACGAUGGGGAUGCGUUCCAUUAGAUAGUAGGCGGGGUAACGGCCCACCUAGUCUUCGAUGGAUAGGGGUUCUGAGAGGAAGGUCCCCCACAUUGGAACUGAGACACGGUCCAAACUCCUACGGGAGGCAGCAGUGAGGAAUAUUGGUCAAUGGGCGAGAGCCUGAACCAGCCAAGUAGCGUGAAGGAUGACUGCCCUAUGGGUUGUAAACUUCUUUUAUAAAGGAAUAAAGUCGGGUAUGCAUACCCGUUUGCAUGUACUUUAUGAAUAAGGAUCGG